rnacentral:lncRNA from 1 species
CAUGCAGAUUAGGGGUUAUACCUAAGUGGCAUGCCAACCACAAGCAAAAGCAAAGCAAAGUUCAAAUGAACUUAAAGCAACUUAAGUACCUAUGGAAACAACUAAACAAAUCAGUACAAUACUCAGACAAACAAACAACAGUCAACAACAAACAGACAAUCCCAAUGUACAACACAUAAGCCAUAAGGCAAACUCAAGUGACUUAUCAUCA